CCACCAUCAAGUCUGGGUGAGUUUUAGUCAAAAGCUCACAGUCAAGAACUGGGCCACAGAAGGACUGGACCCAAACAGUGAAACCCCUGGGAACAAACCUCUGAGGGCUUGGAGGCCAUCAGUGAUGGAGGGGACCUUCCAUACCAUCUCAUCCUUCCUCCUGUUUGACAAGUGAGGGCUCAGAGAAAGCCUAGAGAGGAAGACUUGGCCAGGACCAUGGUAAGCAGUGACAGAGCUGUGGGCACAGGCUGGGGGUCCAGCUUCGACCCCAACCCUUUCUGCCCCAAACACACACCAAACAGACACCAUUGCUGGCCCACGGCAUAAGGAAGGUCCUUAGGCAGGGAAGGAUGAGUCUUCUGCCCUGGAAGCCAGAUCGGCAGGCCCAGUCCCCUUAAGAUUUAAAGAAACUGCCUCCUGGCAGUGUUGACGAGGGAAGAGCCACUCCCUUCAACAGAGACUUGCCUUUUCCGGGUCUGCUGGCGAUGCCUGCAGGGUGCCCUCCAAGUUCCCCAGCUUCUUCCUCUCCCGAGUCUUUGCUCCUGCCCCAUGGUCUGUCUCGUGCUAAUUUUACUCCCUGUCUGGGAGCUCCACACCAUCUCCCUGCUCAGUAGCAUUUUCAUUUCCCCUAAUCUGACCCCGAGCCCCACCUCUCACUCAUCCUUGUGCUCUUAAGAAACCCGAGUGCCAGUGCCGCUUCUACUGCCACUGCCCCAAGCUGACCACGUCCCUCUCUCCCCCUUGAUGGUGCCACACAAGCUGCGCCAGCUAGGGAGCCACGGGAGAGACAGCCACGGCCUUGUGCCCACCAGGAGAGCCCUGGAGCUCAUCUUUGGAGAUCUCUGCAGCCCCAUCACAAGCAAACUCUGGUUUCGUGUGGCCGUGUGGCUCUGGGGGACCCAAGGGACACAGAGAAGGCCGGCUGCAAGCAUGGAGAGCAUGUCAGGACAAACUGGCUGCUGGAGUGGGAUUGGCCUGGGGCCUGGUGCAUUUAACACUUCGUAAGUGGCUUAAAUGACAGGAUAGGAAACGUGCUCACUAAGUGUGCAGAGGAAACCAAGGUGGUGGGUGGCUAAGUCUUGGGAGGGUGGCAGGAGAAUUCAAAAUGACCUUGGUAAACUGGCGACACGGAUGCAGAGGAGACUGUGUAAGCAGGCAUGCUGGUGGCUUGCUUCCUAGAGAACUCGAAAGGCAAAGCGCAAAACUCUCAACGCUUUCAGCUGAAAACAUCCACAUGGUCAGUGGCUCCUCCAAAAGCUACACACAGUCACCGCAUAAGCCAGCAACUCCGCCCCCAGCCACUGACCCAAGAGAACAGACAACAGGUGUCUUAACAGAUACCUGCAGGCACAUGCUCCUAGUGCACUAGUCACGACAGUCAAAGCCGUGAACAAGGCAAACGCCCAGCACUGAGUGGAUAAACAAAAGGACUCUGCACCAUGGAACAGGAUUCAGCCAUAGAAAGGAACAAAGCACCCACACCUGCUACCACAUGGACAAAUCUCAAAACAUGACUGAUGGAAAGCUAAGCAAGCCUGACCCAAGGUCCAUGCACCGCACGAUUCCAGUUUACGAAAUGUCCAGGAUCUUUCCAUCCAUUGAGACAGAACGCAGGUUGGUGGUUGCCAGGGGAUGGGGAGAGGAGGGGAUGGGAAGUGACUGCUAUUGGGUAUGAGGUCUCUUUGUGGCAUGAUAAAAAUGUUUUGGAACUAGACAGAUGUGGUGGUUGCACAGCACUGGGAAUCUACUAAGUUGUGAAUGGUAUUCUUUAAAAUGGUUAAUUUUAUGUGAGGUGAAUUUCACCUCAACGAAAAAAAGAAACAAUAAAAUGAAAUGUAGAAUGACCGGCCAAAAUAUUUGGUAGAGAACGAGCUGGAGGUCAGCGUAGAUAAUGAAUACCCCGGAAGUCGGCAAAACCACAGGGUGGUGUAAUUAGGAAAAGACUGUGCAGCUUGCACAGCCAGAGGCAAAGGGGGCAAGUCCCCUGGCACCAAAGUGAGCCAGUUCUCAGCACUGGGGUAGACAUCAAAACCCUCAUAUCCUCACUUCAGCCAAAGUGAGCCAGUUCUCAGCACUGGGGUAGCCAUCGAAACCCUCAAAUCCUCACUUCAGAGACACAGAAAACAAGAGUUAUGUGGAUAGAUUAAGGUUCCACAGAACACUCAUCUUGGAGAAGGGAAGGGUCUAGGCGAACCUGGGGUUGGACUAGCUCUUGAGUCAGACAGGACUGAGGCCUCCCUAUCCCCCAUCAGGGCCCAUGGCAGCUGCCUUCCUCCAUCGCGUCUGUGAAGAGGGAAAGGACCCAGGAGCACAAUGCUGAGACUGGAACCAUCCAAUCCUGAUGGGCAAAAAGAGAAUGAACUUCACGAUCCGGGGAUCUCAGAGGAGCUCACUCAGGUUGGCUUGAAAGCUCUGGCCCCGGCACAGUGUCUAGUGGAGAGGAGCCGUGCGAUAUUUAUCUAUGCAGCUGAUGCAUAAAUGGGCCCACCCAUAAGCUAGGAAGCCGGAGGAUAUUAUUCCAGCCUAUGUUACGCUGAAAGAAGCUGAGGCCCAGAAAAAGAGUGAUUCAUUCAAGGUCACCAAAUGUUUGUCACACAUCGGCACAGCUCACGACACCUUACAGGCCUCCAGCCUCCUGCCUUCCGGGUCCUUGCCUGGUCUGUGCAUGUGUGAGGGGGAAACAGACGCCUGGCGGGUUCAACUUACUCUCAAGACCCCAAGCUGCACUGCGGACGCUCAUUCACCUUUGCUAAGCGACUCCAGGUCUCCUUCCUCUGGUUGGCCCCUGCAGCCCCACCCUCCCCACCCUCCCCACCCUCCCCACCCUCCCCACCCUCCCCACCCUGGAUGUGUGUAUUCGGCUGCCUGAGGGAGAAAUAAACAAGACUGAGGAACGCUGGGGUCCUGGGCGGGGGCUCUGCCUAGAGCUCCCUGCCCUCCUCUGGCCUGGAUGCUCGGCAUGUAUGGAUUCAGUCUGUCUGGCUGCUUUCCUGGCCCCAGAAGCAUUCACCUGAGGCCUGGGGGCUUCCUGACCCUGUGGGCUCCCUCAUCUUGUUCAGGCACUGGGCACUCAGGGCAGGCUCUCAGCCACAGGGGCUGCUGCGGGGUCAGCGGUGGUCAGGGCAGUAGCUCUGGGAUUCAGGGCUGUUCCACCCCCACGACCAAGAGGAACGAAAGAGAACCAGUAAGGCCCGGGAGGCUGCCCGGGAGAGAAAGGCACGCGCCGCGUUGAGAGAGCAGGAGAGUGGGGGAAAGCACAGCAAGAGGCAGCCAGGCUCAUCGGGUUUCUCUGAGAACGCCGGGCGUGCGGCUCCCUCUGCAGAGAUGCUGGGAAACCACUGCACGGUCACAAACGGGGGCUGGCCGGGCGCGGUGGCUCACGCCUGUAAUCCCAGCACUUUGGGAGGUCGAGGUGGGUGGAUCACAAGGUCAGGAGAUUGAGACCAUCCUGGCCAACAUGGUGAAACCCUGUCUUUCCUAAAAAUACAAAAAAGGCGUGGUGGUGGGUGCCUGUAGACCCAGCUACUUGGGAGGCUGAGGCAGGAGAAUGGCAUGAACCCAGGAGGCAGAGCUUACAGUGAGCUGAGAUCAUGCCACUGCACUCCAGGCUGGGUGACAGAAUGAGGCUCCGUCUCAAAAAAAAAAAAAAGAAAGAAAAAAAAGAAACGGGGGACAGUGGGGCGGCUGAUCUCCACUUCACUUCAUCCUUUCCCACCAGGAGAGCCUGAGGAGGGAGCCAUUGCUAGGCCCUGUGGCCAUUCUCCAUGAGAUGACCCCCUCACCUGCCUUCUGAGCAGCGAGUGUCUGGUUAUCUACAGGGCUGUUGUUUUGCUGAGCAUAAAACAGUUUCAGGGCCAGGAUCAAUGGAUUGGGAAAAGGGUGGACCACUGAAGGUGGCAGCCAAGGUCAAACUACCCUGCCCUUCCCGCCCAGUGCCUGGUCUCCCUUUUUGAAAGAUGUCGAUUGGAACAGGUGCCAAAUGAUUGGGGAACCCAGGCAGGUGCCACAUGGCUCCAUUAGGCUCUGCCUGCACUUCCUCCUGCAGCCGCGGUUUGUCAUUACCUGGAGGCAUCACGCAGUCUCCAACACCUGUCCCCCUGCACCACUCUUCCCCCUCUCAGAGUGUGUCUGCUCCUUCCACCCCUCCUCUCUGCAACUGGCUGACUCCUUUGGAAUCUGGAGAGCAUCCGGGCCUUUCGGAAGCCUCUGAACAGCAUCCCUCUUAGCCUCUCACUGCCCCUGCCAGGCUGCCAGAAUCUAUGUCCUAAUUCUGUACUCCUAUACCCUCUUCAGAGUACCCCCAGCACAGUGCAGAUCACUGUCAAAGCAUUCAUUUAAAAACACAACUCCCAGGCCAGGCGUGGUGGCUCACGCCUGUAAUCCCAGCACUUUGGGAGGCUGAGGUGGGUGGAUCACGAGGUCAAGAGAUCAAGACCAGCCUGGCCAACAUGGUGAAACCCCAUCUCUACUAAAAAUACAAAAAUUGGCUGGGUGUGGUGGCACGUGCCUGUAGUCCCAGCUACUCACGAGGCUGAGGCAGGAGAAUCGCUUGAACCAGGGGGGUGGAGGAUGCAGUGAGCUGAGAUCAUGCCACUGCACUCCAGCCUGGCGACAGAGUGAAGGUCCAUCUAAAACAAACAAACGAACAAACAAAAAACAAAAAAUAUAACUCCUGGCCAGGCGCGGUGGCUCACACCUGUAAUCCCAGCACUUUGGGAGACCAAGGCAAGUGGAUCACCGGAGGUCAGGAGUUCAAGAUCAGCCUGGCUAACAUGGUGAAACCCCGUCUCUGCUAAAAAUACAAAAAUUAGCUGGGCAUGGUGGCACAUGCCUGUAAUCCCAGCUACUUGGGAGGCUGAGGCAGGAGAAUUGCUUGAACUUGGGAGGUGGAGGUUGCUGUGAGCUGAGAUUGUGCCUCUCCACACCAGCCAGGGUGACAGAGUGCGACUUCAUCUCAAAAGAAUAAAUAAAUAAAUAAAAACACAGCUCCUGGGAGACAUGGCAGGAGGAUCUCUUGAGCCCAGGAGUUCAAAAUCAGCCUGGGCAACAGAGGGAGACCCCAUCUCUACAAAAUAAUUAAAAAAAAAAUUAGCCAGGCAUGGUGGCACAGCCCAUAGUUCCAGCUACUCAGGAGGCUGAUGCAGGGGGAUCAUUAGCGCCCAGGAUGUCAAGGCUGCAGUAGCUAUGAUCACACCACUGCACUCCAGCCUGGAUGACAGAGUGAGACCCUGCCUCAAAAAUAAAUAAAUAAAUACAUACAUGCAUACAAAUUCUCAUACAAAUAUAUAGUGUGUGUCAAAGAUUUAUUUCACUCAUUAAUGAGGAACUAGUAAGAUGGUAAAACUGGUUCGGAGGGGAAUAUAUGUCAAAGUAUGUAGAGUGAAUGAAAGAAAGAAUGCUCAAUAAGAUCAAAAAGUUAGAAAUAAAACCAGCUAUGAGAGCAAUAUAACCGUGACCUCUGGCUUUGCAACUUACAAUCUUCUAUGAGGUAGCAUCCAACUUCACAGAGUCUGGGCCAAAUCAACAAACAGUAAGUCAAACACAAUUACCUUCUUUAACGUGAUGGCCCCUAGCAGGUUUAUUAAAGCAGGCUCUAGGCCAGGUUCAGUGGCUCACGCCUAUAAUCCCAGCACUGUAGGAGGCCAAAGCGGGAGGUUUGCUUGAGUCCAGGACUUCGAGACCAGCCUGGGCAACGUGGUGAGACCCCAUUCUCUAUAAAACAUACAAAAUCUAGCUAGGUGUGGUGGUGCAUGCCUGUAGUCCCAGCUACUCUGGAGGCUGAGGCAGGAGGAUCGCUUGAGCUCUGAGGGUCUAGGCUGCAGUGAGUGGUGAUUAUGCAACUGCACUCCAGCAUGGGCCACAGAGGGAGACCCCGUCUCAAACACAAACAAGCAGGGCUCUAGUACUGCAGUCAGCAAACUCCGGCCCAGGGGCCGAAUCUGGCCCACUUCCUGUUUUUGUAAAUAAAGUUUUAUUGGAACACAGCCACUGUCACUGGUUUGUGCGGCUGCUGGCCACUUUCAUGCUUUUGCAGCCGAACUGCGGAGCUGGAACUGAGAGCGUCUGACCUGGAAAGCCUCAAGUAUUCACUAUCGGGACCUUUACAGAAAGUGUGGCAAGCCCUGCUGGAGCGCACCACCCCCACGGCACUGACUCCUCCUCGGCUGCUGAGUCCUCUCACCACAUGUGUCAUCACUUCUGGCUGCUUGUGGACUUGCCCUGAGGCAAGGUCAGGGUCUCACGCAUCCCUGCACCUCCAGCAUCUCUCCCAGGGUCCAGCCUCAACUUGGUGUUUAAUGCAUUAACGAAUUUACAAAUGAACAUGCGAAUGAUUUAAAAAUCAGUACUGAAAAUGGGUUGCUUUACACGGAGCUCCAAAACAGAUGAUCACCAAAAAUGUAACUACACUUAGCGACCUCUAGGGGAGAAACUGAAAUUUCUAUAAUAAAAGGUUUACAUUUUUGUCUGGAGAGACCAGGACUCUUUUUUCGUGAGAGACAGGAGUUCUUUAACCCUGGCUGGGCUCCUCUGGCUCUCUAGUUAGAUUUCAAGGCCAAGAAAGAAUGUUCUAGAAGCAACUGGGUGCUCACUAACAAUGUGCUGAUGUAG
rnacentral:lncRNA from 1 species